rnacentral:rRNA from 1 species
GAGUAACACGUGGGUAACCUACCUAUAAGACUGGGAUAACUUCGGGAAACCGGAGCUAAUACCGGAUAACAUUUGGAACCGCAUGGUUCUAAAGUGAAAGAUGGUUUUGCUAUCACUUAUAGAUGGACCCGCGCCGUAUUAGCUAGUUGGUAAGGUAACGGCUUACCAAGGCGACGAUACGUAGCCGACCUGAGAGGGUGAUCGGCCACACUGGAACUGAGACACGGUCCAGACUCCUACGGGAGGCAGCAGUAGGGAAUCUUCCGCAAUGGGCGAAAGCCUGACGGAGCAACGCCGCGUGAGUGAUGAAGGGUUUCGGCUCGUAAAACUCUGUUAUUAGGGAAGAACAAAUGUGUAAGUAACUGUGCACGUCUUGACGGUACCUAAUCAGAAAGCCACGGCUAACUACGUGCCAGCAGCCGCGGUAAUACGUAGGUGGCAAGCGUUAUCCGGAAUUAUUGGGCGUAAAGCGCGCGUAGGCGGUUUCUUAAGUCUGAUGUGAAAGCCCACGGCUCAACCGUGGAGGGUCAUUGGAAACUGGGAAACUUGAGUGCAGAAGAGGAAAGUGGAAUUCCAUGUGUAGCGGUGAAAUGCGCAGAGAUAUGGAGGAACACCAGUGGCGAAGGCGACUUUCUGGUCUGUAACUGACGCUGAUGUGCGAAAGCGUGGGGAUCAAACAGGAUUAGAUACCCUGGUAGUCCACGCCGUAAACGAUGAGUGCUAAGUGUUAGGGGGUUUCCGCCCCUUAGUGCUGCAGCUAACGCAUUAAGCACU